rnacentral:rRNA from 1 species
AAGGAAUAUUGGACAAUGGAGGGAACUCUGAUCCAGCCAUGCCGCGUGAAGGAUGACUGCCCUAUGGGUUGUAAACUUCUUUUGAGUGGGAACAAAAUGCCUGAUUAAUCAGGAGCUGAGGGUACCACUAGAAUAAGCACCGGCUAACUCCGUGCCAGCAGCCGCGGUAAUACGGAGGGUGCAAGCGUUAUCCGGAAUCACUGGGUUUAAAGGGUGCGUAGGCGGUAUAGUAAGUCAGUCGUGAAAUUCAUCGGCUUAACUGAUUGAACUGCGAUUGAUACUGUUAUACUUGAAUCAAGUUGAGGUAGGCGGAAUGUGGCAUGUAGCGGUGAAAUGCAUAGAUAUGCCAUAGAACACCGAUUGCGAAGGCAGCUUGCUGGGCUUUGAUUGACGCUGAGGCACGAAAGCGUGGGGAGCAAAC